GACGGGGGGGGCAAGUGUUCUUCGGAAUGACUGGGCGUAAAGGGCACGGUAGGCGGUGAAUCGGGUUGAAAGUGAAAGUCGCCAAAAAAGUGGCGGGAAUGCUCUCGAAACCAAUUCACUUGAGUGAGACAGAGGAGAGUGGAAUUUCGUGUGUAGGGGUGAAAUCCGUAGAUCUACGAAGGAACGCCAAAAGCGAAGGCAGCUCUCUGGGUCCCUACCGACGCUGGGGUGCGAAAGCAUGGGGAGCGAACAGG
rnacentral:rRNA from 1 species